rnacentral:rRNA from 1 species
CGGGGGGAGCAAGCCGUUGUUCGGAUUUACUGGGCGUAAAGGGCGCGUAGGCGGCCACCGCAAGUCGACUGUGAAAUCUCCGGGCUUAACCCGGAAAGGUCAGCCGAUACUGCGGGGGCUAGACUGCAGAAGGGGCAACUGGAAUUCUCGGUGUAGCGGUGAAAUGCGUAGAUAUCGAGAGGAACACCUGCGGCGAAGGCGGGUUGCUGGGCUGACACUGACGCUGAGGCGCGAAAGCUAGGGGAGCGAACGGGAUUAGAUACCCCGGUAGUCCUAGCCUUAAAACGAUGAAAUGCUUGGUGUCUGGGGUUUUAUAGUCCCCGGGUGCCGUCGCUAACGCUUUAAGCAUUCCGCCUGGGGAGUACGGUCGCAAGACUG